UACGUAGGGUCCAAGCGUUAUCCGGAAUCACUGGGCGUAAAGCGUGCGUAGGUGGCGUGUUAAGUGUGAUGUUAAAUCGCGGGGCUCAACCCUGUCGCUGUAUCACAUACUGGCACACUAGAGGACGGCAGAGGCAAGUGGAAUUUGUAGUGUAGCAGUGAAAUGCGUAGAUAUUACAAGGAACACCAAUGGCGAAGGCAGCUUGCUGGGCCAAUCCUGACACUGAGGUACGAAAGCGUGGGGAGCGAACAGG
rnacentral:rRNA from 1 species